UUGCAAGAUUGGGCUACUAGAUCAAAAUGGCCGGUUUUUCGGUAAAUCUAGUAUGACGAGUUGCCUAUACACCAGGGUGCACAAUCCUAACUCUCAUAAUAAAGCUUUUUUACAUAUUUUUAAAGUUCAUAUUGAAAUUUUGAGGCCAUUACCCAUACGUAUGACAUUUCAAUAAAUUUAAACAGAUGUAAAUAAGUACUAGAGAGUUUUAAUGAUACGAAAAUAUGAAAUUAGUAUUCAUUCUUUCCGCGCGUUAACAAAUCAAUUGUUGGGAACAUGAAGCCAUUGUAAUUCAAUAAACAAUGAUGAAACGAUAAUGCAGCAUCCAAUUAUCAAUGCUGAAGUUUAUGUGUUUUGUAAAUCUUUGAUCUUGUACUGCCUAAAUGUAGCAACACAAAGCAAAAUUUCAAAAAUAAAUCGUUUCGACAUCUAACGUUAUUUCUCUGAACUGAAUUGUAAAUGUUACCAAUAAAUGCAGGGCGCUAACUUAUCACCAUCAUAAUGUGACAUCAUAUUCGCAUAGAUGUCGCUACCGUAUGACAGAAACCUGCAACUAACCUACUAGUAAUAAUAUGAUCGAUUCAGCAAACUAAUGUCAGAUGUCAGACCGAAGUAUAUUUUAAAUUUAAAAAAAUCAAAAUGCAAUUUUGAUACAUUUAGACAGUAUAUGUACUUUAUUUCUUAGUCUAAGGUAUGUACAAGUAACAAAUUUACAAAACACAUAAACUUCAGCGUUUAUAAUUAUUGCUGCAUUACUUUUCAUCAUUGUUUAUUCACAACAAACGAUUAGUUAACGCGCGGAAAGAAUGAAUACUAAAUUCAUAUUUUUGUUUCAUACAACCACUUCGAGUUUCGAGUUUAAUGAAAUGCUGUACGUAAGGAUAAUAGCUUCAAAAUUCUAUUAUAUACUUUCAAAAAUAGGUAAAAAGGCUCGUUUGGAAAGUACACCCUGGUGUGUAGGCAACUCGUCUAACCGCAUGACGUAAAAGCGGCCAUGUUUUUAGCCAUUUUGUAUGUAUAGAACACGAAAUCUAAAGGCGAAGGAUCAGGAGAACAUAAACCAACAAGGAUAAUUGUACAUUUUUGGGAGUGGCUAUGAAAAUGCCGAUAAUGUCGUUUCCUAUAUUGACUGAGUAGUAAAUUAACCUCAAAGGCAGAAACAGUUGUUUACUUUUUUCAUCAUUAAAGUGAACGUUUUUUUGUAAUUCUUCCUGCUCCUACUAUUUCAAAAUAUGAAAAUGGAACUUCAAUUGAAAGUUUCGUUCAUGGAAUCGACUCUCAUGUUAGGUCUGGCUAUUGGGUGAAAUGCUCUGGCUUAGCUGAUCCCAAUGUAGGGGGGUUUGGGAUGGUAAACUUGGUCUUGGCCUUGCUGUUGAAACAGUUACACAGUACUCAUAUAGACGUUAGCGUAAUUAAGACCAAUGGCCACUUUCAAAGUACAUAACCAGAUCGAAAGCCUCGGGUCACUUUUUGUAUUGCAAUUGAAGAUAAAGUGAUUCCAAGAAGAGAAGUUCCACAAGAAACUUGAGACAAAUACCAACAGAAAUAUCUUUCGGGUUGUUUUAGAAAAGGAGACCCCUUCUGCCAAGAGAGUCAAGGGUUAAACUUCCUUACAAAUCUGUGGCGGAUAUUCAGUAAUUAGAAGGACAUCCUAUUUAUCACAAGAAGCAAAUGCACAUUAGUAGAUUUUGUAGUAUCAAUUUGUUAAACGAUUUGUGUUUGUUUAUCCGCAGUAUAAGUUAUGCAUGCACGAAUUCGCUUAUGCUUUGUGGAGAUGUAUUGUUCUUAGAUAUAAAUUUCAUGUUUCCAAGAGGUUCGAAUUUGGCAAAUAAACAGAUAAUUAAAUAUUCAA